GCAGCAUGCACUGGUGGCGCCACCGUUUCGACCGCCGCCGCGCUUGGCCCUCUCGCUGCGUCGGGAUGCCCAAGUUUAGGGUUUGGCGCAUCCGGCAUGACAGCUAGGGUUUCGCCCAUAGGAGGAGCGCAGGCGUCGCGGCGGGAGGUGGCAUCAAUGAGGCAUCACGGAGGAUUGAGGAGAGGGAGGGGGUCGUCAGGCCUCACAUAUAGGCCGCGCCAUCACCUGGUGCCCCGCCGUCGUCGCUUGAGGGAAAGGGAGGGAGGGAGGGAGGAGGAGGAGGAAGAAGAAGAAGAAGAAGAAGAGGAGGAGGAGGAGGAGGAGGAGGGCGGCCGCGGCGCGCCGCUCGCGCCCAUCGCCGUCGCGGUCGCCCCUGGUGGCGGCGUCAGGAGGAGGGAGGAGUGAAGAGAGAAGGGACGGGAGAGAGAGCCCGAGAUUUUUUUUCCGUGGAAGAGGGACGUGGCCGAUUUGUGUCCACAGGAGGAAGAGGCUGAGGUGGACCAACGGGAGGAGGAGGAGGAGGUGAGGUGGCGCUGAGAUGGCCCAAUCAGAGAAUUUUGUAGGGUUUGGCGCAUCCGGCAUGACAGCUAGGGUUUCGCCCAUAGGAGGAGCGCAGGCGUCGCGGCGGGAGGUGGCAUCAAUGAGGCAUCACGGAGGAUUGAGGAGAGGGAGGGGGUCGUCAGGCCUCACAUAUAGGCCGCGCCAUCACCUGGUGCCCCGCCGUCGUCGCUUGAGGGAAAGGGAGGGAGGGAGGGAGGAGGAGGAAGAAGAAGAAGAAGAAGAAGAAGAAGAAGAAGAGGAGGAGGAGGAGGAGGAGGAGGAGGAGGGCGGCCGCGGCGCGCCGCUCGCACCCAUCGCCGUCGCGGUCGCCCCUGGUGGCGGCGUCAGGAGGAGGGAGGAGUGAAGAGAGAAGGGACGGGAGAGAGAGCCCGAGAUUUUUUUUUCCGUGGAAGAGGGACGUGGCCGAUUUGUGUCCACAGGAGGAAGAGGCUGAGGUGGACCAACGGGAGGAGGAGGAGGAGGUGAGGUGGCGCUGAGAUGGCCCAAUCAGAGAAUUUUGUAGGGUUUGGCGC
rnacentral:lncRNA from 1 species